AUUGAACGCUGGCGGCAGGCCUAACACAUGCAAGUCGAACGAGUGGCGGACGGGUGAGUAAUGUCUGGGACACUGCCUGAUGGAGGGGGAUAACUACUGGAAACGGUAGCUAAUACCGCAUACCAUCGGAUGUGCCCAGAUGGGAUUAGCUAGUAGGUGGGGUAACGGCUCACCUAGGCGACGAUCCCUAGCUGGUCUGUGAGGAGGACAAGCCACACUGGAACUGAGACACGGUCCAGACUCCGACGGGAGGCAGCAGUGGGGAAUAUUGCACAAUGGGCGCAAGCCUGAUGCAGCCAUGCCGCGUGUAGGAAGAAGGGCUUCGGGUUGUAAAGUACUUUCAGCGGGGAGGCGUUACCCGCAGAAGAAGCACCGGCUAACUCCGUGCCAGCAGCCGCGGUAAUUC
rnacentral:rRNA from 1 species